UCCCUGGUGGUCCAGUGGUGAAGACUUCUUGCUCCCAAUGCAGAAGGGACCAGGUUCAAACCCUGGUCAGGGAA